rnacentral:tRNA from 1 species
AAGAUUUUAAGUUAUUCAAACCAUUAAUCUUCAAAAUUAAUUAUAUAAAUCCUUAUUGAUUUAUAAAUCUUA